rnacentral:rRNA from 1 species
AAUAGAUACCCUGGUAGUCCAUCGCCGUAAACGUUGGGCACUAGGUGUGGGGCUCAUUCCACGAGUUCCGUGCCGCAGCAAACGCAUUAAGUGCCCCGGCCUGGGGAGUACGGCCGCAAGGCUAAAACUCAAAGGAAUUGGACGGGGGCCCGCACAAGCGGCGGAGCAUGCGGAUUAAUUCGAUGCAACGCGAAGAACCUUACCAAGGCUUGACAUGCACGGGAAGCCACCAGAGAUGGUGGUCUCUUUGGACACUCGUGCACAGGUGGUGCAUGGUUGUCGUCAGCUCGUGUCGUGAGAUGUUGGGUUAAGUCCCGCAACGAGCGCAACCCUCGUCCCAUGUUGCCAGCGGGUUAUGCCGGGGACUCAUGGGAGACUGCCGGGGUCAACUCGGAGGAAGGUGGGGAUGACGUCAAAUCAUCAUGCCCCUUAUGUCUUGGGCUUCACGCAUGCUACAAUGGCCGGUACAAAGGGCUGCGAUACCGUAAGGUGGAGCGAAAUCCCGAAAAAGCCGGUCUCGAGUUCGGAUUGGGGU